UAAUACGGAGGGUGCGAGCGUUAAUCGGAAUCACUGGGCGUAAAGCGCACGUAGGCGGUGUCGUAAGUCGGACGUGAAAUCCCUCGGCUCAACCGGGGAACUGCGUUCGAUACUGCGAUGCUUGAGUGCCGGAGAGGGUGGCGGAAUUCCAGGUGUAGGAGUGAAAUCCGUAGAUAUCUGGAGGAACACCAGUGGCGAAGGCGGCCACCUGGCCGGCAACUGACGCUGAGGUGCGAAAGCGUGGGGAUCAAACAGG
rnacentral:rRNA from 1 species